GUAGUCCUACGGGGGGCAGCAGUGGGGAAUAUUGCACAAUGGGGGAAACCCUGAUGCAGCGACGCCGCGUGAGGGAAGAAGGUUUUCGGAUUGUAAACCUCUGUCAGUGGGGACGAUAAUGACGGUACCCACGGAGGAAGCCACGGCUAACUACGUGCCAGCAGCCGCGGUAAUACGUAGGUGGCAAGCGUUGUCCGGAAUUACUGGGUGUAAAGGGUGCGUAGGCGGAAUGCCAAGUCAGCGGUAAAAUCGCGGGGCUCAACCUCGCUCCGCCGUUGAAACUGGCGUUCUUGAGUGGGCGAGAA
rnacentral:rRNA from 1 species